rnacentral:rRNA from 1 species
GAUGAACGCUGGCGGCGUGCCUAAUACAUGCAAGUCGAGCGAACGGACGAGAAGCUUGCUUCUCUGAUGUUAGCGGCGGACGGGUGAGUAACACGUGGAUAACCUACCUAUAAGACUGGGAUAACUUCGGGAAACCGGUGCUAAUACCGGAUAAUAUUUUGAACCGCAUGGUUCAAAAGUAAAAGACGGUCUUGCUGUCACUUAUAGAUGGAUCCGCGCUGCAUUAGCUAGAUGGUAAGGUAACGGCUUACCAAGGCAACGAUGCAUAGCCGACCUGAGAGGGUGAUCGGCCACACUGGAACUGAGACACGGUCCAGACUCCUACGGGAGGCAGCAGUAGGGAAUCUUCCGCAAUGGGCGAAAGCCUGACGGAGCAACGCCGCGUGAGUGAUGAAGGUCUUCGGAUCGUAAAACUCUGUUAUUAGGGAAGAACAUAUGUGUAAGUAACUGUGCACAUCUUGACGGUACCUAAUCAGAAAGCCACGGCUAACUACGUG